rnacentral:rRNA from 1 species
GACGAACGCUGGCGGCGUGCUUAACACAUGCAAGUCGAGCGAUGAAGCACCUUCGGGUGUGAAUUAGCGGCGAACGGGUGAGGAACACGUGAAGAAUCUGCCUUCAACUCUGGGAUAACUCCGGGAAACCGGGGCUAAUACCGGAUAUGAGCCUUGAUCGCAUGAUCGGGGCUGGAAAGUUUUUCGGUUGAAGAUGACUUCGCGGCCUAUCAGCUUGUUGGUGAGGUAAUGGCUCACCAAGGCGACGACGGGUAGCCGGCCUGAGAGGGCGACCGGCCACACUGGGACUGAGACACGGCCCAGACUCCUACGGGAGGCAGCAGUGGGGAAUAUUGGGCAAUGGAGGAAACUCUGACCCAGCGACGCCGCGUGAGGGAUGAAGGCCUUCGGGUUGUAAACCUCUUUCAGUAGGGAAGAAGCGAAAGUGACGGUACCUACAGAAGAAGCACCGGCUAACUAUGUGCCAGCAGCCGCGGUAA